rnacentral:rRNA from 1 species
AUUGAACGCUGGCGGCAUGCCUUACACAUGCAAGUCGAACGGCAGCACGGGAGCAAUCCUGGUGGCGAGUGGCGAACGGGUGAGUAAUACAUCGGAACGUGCCCAGUAGUGGGGGAUAACCCGGCGAAAGCCGGACUAAUACCGCAUACGACCUACGGGUGAAAGCGGGGGAUCGCAAGACCUCGCGCUAUCGGAGCGGCCGAUGUCAGAUUAGCUAGUUGGUGGGGUAAAGGCCUACCAAGGCGACGAUCUGUAGCUGGUCUGAGAGGACGACCAGCCACACUGGGACGGAGACAGGGCCCAGACUCCUACGGGAGGCAGCAGUGGGGAAUUUUGGGCAAUGGGCGCAAGCCUGAUCCAGCCAUGCCGCGUGCGGGAAGAAGGCCUUCGGGUUGUAAACCGCUUUUGUCAGGGAAGAAACGCUCCGGGCUAAUACCACGGGGUAAUGACGGUACCUGAAGAAUAAGCACCGGCUAACUACGUG